AGCCUUCGGGCUUAGCGGCGGACGGGUGAGUAACGCGUGGGAAUGUGCCCUUCUCUACGGAAUAGUCCCGGGAAACUGGGUUUAAUACCGUAUACGCCCUUCGGGGGAAAGAUUUAUCGGAGAAGGAUCAGCCCGCGUCUGAUUAGGUAGUUGGUGGGGUAAUGGCCUACCAAGCCUACGAUCAGUAGCUGGUUUGAGAGGAUGAUCAGCCACACUGGGACUGAGACACGGCCCAGACUCCUACGGGAGGCAGCAGUAGGGAAUCUUAGACAAUGGGGGAAACCCUGAUCUAGCCAUGCCGCGUGUGUGACGAAGGCCUUAGGGUCGUAAAGCACUUUCGCCAGGGAUGAUAAUGACAGUACCUGGUAAAGAAACCCCGGCUAACUCCGUGCCAGCAGCCGCGGUAAUACGGAGGGGGUUAGCGUUGUUCGGA
rnacentral:rRNA from 1 species